CCAUGCCGCGUGCAGGAGACGGCCCUACGGGUUGUAAACUGCUUUUGUACCGGAAUAAACCUUUGUAUGUAUACGAAGCUGAAUGUACGGUAAGAAUAAGGAUCGGCUAACUCCGUGCCAGCAGCCGCGGUAAUACGGAGGAUCCAAGCGUUAUCCGGAUUUAUUGGGUUUAAAGGGUGCGUAUGUGGCCUAUUAAGUCAGGGGUGAAAGACGGUAGCUCAACUAUCGCAGUGCCUUUGAUACUGAUGGGCUUGAAUACACUAUAGGUAGGCGGAAUGUGACAAGUAACGGUGAAAUGCAUAGAUAUGUCACAGAACACCAAUUGCGAAGGCUGCUUACUAUGGUGUCAUUGACACUGAGGCACGAAAGCGUGGGGAUCAAACAGGAUUAGAUACCCUGGUAGUCCACGCCCUAAACGAUGAACACUCGAUGUUGGCGAUAUACGGUCAGCGUCUAAGCGAAAGCGUUAAGUGUUCCACCUGGGGAGUACGCCCGCAAGGGUGAAACUCAAAGGAAUUGACGGGGGCCCGCACAAGCGGAGGAGCAUGUGGUUUAAUUCAAUGAUACGCGAGGAACCUUACCCGGGCUUGAUAGUUAGUGAAUGAGACAGAGACGUCUCACUCCU
rnacentral:rRNA from 1 species